rfam:Gorilla gorilla gorilla genomic chromosome, chr1, whole genome shotgun sequence
GCCGGGUGUGGUGGCUCACACCUGUAAUCCCAGCACUUCUGGAGGCUGAGGUGGGUGGAUCACCUGAGGUCAGGAGUUCUAGACCAGCCUGGCCAACACGGCGAAACCCCGUCUCUA